rnacentral:rRNA from 1 species
GAUGAACGCUGGCGGCGUGCCUAAUACAUGCAAGUCGAGCGAACAGACGAGGAGCUUGCUCCUCUGACGUUAGCGGCGGACGGGUGAGUAACACGUGGAUAACCUACCUAUAAGACUGGGAUAACUUCGGGAAACCGGAGCUAAUACCGGAUAAUAUAUUGAACCGCAUGGUUCAAUAGUGAAAGACGGUUUUGCUGUCACUUAUAGAUGGAUCCUCGCCGCAUUAGCUAGUUGGUAAGGUAACGGCUUACCAAGGCAACGAUGCGUAGCCGACCUGAGAGGGUGAUCGGCCACACUGGAACUGAGACACGGUCCAGACUCCGACGGGAGGCAGCAGUAGGGAAUCGUCCGCAAUGGGCGAAAGCUUGACGGAGCAACGCCGCGUGAGUGAUGAAGGUCUUCGGAUCGUAAAACUCUGUUAUUAGGGAAGAACAAAUGUGUAAGUAACUAUGCACGUCUUGACGGUACCUAAUCAGAAAGCCACGGCUAACUACGUG